rnacentral:tRNA from 1 species
GGGGUUGUGGCUCAGUGGUGAGCGCUCGCCUGGCAUGCGUGCGGCCCGGGUUCGAUCCUCAGCACCA